AAUGAACGCUGGCGGCAUGCCUAACACAUGCAAGUCGAACGAAGGCUUCGGCCUUAGUGGCGCACGGGUGCGUAACGCGUGGGAAUCUGCCCCUUGGUUCGGAAUAACGGUUAGAAAUGACUGCUAAUACCGGAUGAUGACGUAAGUCCAAAGAUUUAUCGCCGAGGGAUGAGCCCGCGUAGGAUUAGCUAGUUGGUGUGGUAAGAGCGCACCAAGGCGACGAUCCUUAGCUGGUCUGAGAGGAUGAUCAGCCACACUGGGACUGAGACACGGCCCAGACUCCUACGGGAGGCAGCAGUGGGGAAUAUUGGACAAUGGGCGAAAGCCUGAUCCAGCAAUGCCGCGUGAGUGAUGAAGGCCUUAGGGUUGUAAAGCUCUUUUACCCGGGAUGAUAAUGACAGUACCGGGAGAAUAAGCUCCGGCUAACUCCGUG
rnacentral:rRNA from 1 species